rnacentral:rRNA from 1 species
GAUGAACGCUGGCGGCGUGCCUAAUACAUGCAAGUCGAGCGAACAGACGAGGAGCUUGCUCCUCUGACGUUAGCGGCGGACGGGUGAGUAACACGUGUAUAACCUACCUAUAAGACUGGGAUAACUUCGGGAAACCGGCGCUAAUACCGGAUAAUAUAUUGAACCGCAUGGUUCAAUAGUGAAAGACGGUUUUGCUGUCACUUAUAGAUGGAUCCGGGCCGCAUUAGCUAGUUGUGCAGUUAACGGGUUACCAAGGCAACGAUGCGUAGCCGACCUGAGAGGGGGGUCGGCGACCUGGGAGGUGAGACAGGGACAAGGGUACUACGGGAGGGAGCAGAAGGGAACGUUAGGCAAAGGGCGAAAGUCUUACGGAGCGACGGCGAGUGAGUGACGAAGGUGUUGGGUGCGGAAAAACGUGUUAUUAGGGAAGAACCAAUGUGGAAGUAACUAUGGCCGGCUUGACGGUAACGAAUCAGAAAGCCACGGCUAACUACGUG